rnacentral:lncRNA from 1 species
CUUUUCUCUCCUUGCUGCAAUGAGAAGACACAGCAAGAAGACUUCUGUCUGCAAGCAAGGAAGAAGGCUCUCACCAGGAACCGAAUUGGUUAACACCUUUAUCUUGGACUUCCCAGCCUUUAGAACUAAAGACAACUGAAUAAAUUUGGUAGCAGAAUAGGAAGGAACAAAUACAUGAGCAUACUCGGAAUGAGAGAAGACAGCAGCAGCGAGAUUUAAGUGAGUACAUAGUUGGAGUUUACCAAGGAGAGCAGAGGGUCUGGGAAAGACUAAAAUGCCAGUCACCAAAUCCAGUUGUCUCAGUUACAACAAAUCCCCAAGAAGGUCUAAU